rnacentral:lncRNA from 1 species
CGGGAAGGCAGAAAGGAAAGAAGUUCCACCCACAGGAGUCUGGUAAAUGCUAGAAGAGAGUGACCUGAACUCAAGAUGAGGGAUCCAUUGGUCCUGCCAGCAGGAGGGUGUCAGACAGCUUCACACACAGAGAGAGAACUUUUCAUCAAGGCUUGAAGGACUCUGCCCACCCCCUGUUCAGACCCAUUCUCCAGCCCCAAGCAGGGAUUCCACACUGUAGGAGGAGAGAUUGAUGACCCAGAGGGCAAGAAAAGAAAGUGUUUCAGAAGACUCUCAAAAUGCUCUGCCCUGAAAACGAGGGGUUAUGAUGGAAUAGAUUCAGUGCCUGGCUCAUUGUGGGAUAUCAACAAAGAGCUGAAGAAGGAAGGAAAGAAGAAAGAAAGGGGAACAGACAAGAGAUAGGGACACAGGGAAAGAGGAACUCAGCAACAAUAUAAUUUUCCCAAAUUUAUCAGCAAAAGAGCACCUGGAGUUUGGAGUCUGGAGAUUAUCGUUCACCUACCACACGUAGGUUGCCCACUUAAUCCACCUGAGCCUCUUUUUACGAAUCCAAAGGCAGAAUAUUUCCAACACAGAUUUGGUAAUAAACUGGGUGCUCUGACAUAUGGUUAGCAGUAUUGUGAAUUGGUACAUCUCACUGGAAAAGCAAUUUAUCAGUACAAAUCAAGAGUAUACAAAAAUAUGCACACUUUUGACUGAGUUCUGAGUUUCUGUUCUACAAAAUAAUUCCCAUAUAUUAAAAAAAAAAACACUUGUACAAAUAUUAAAAUAGCCUGAGUCCCUGAUGACAUUGUGGUCUCUGAACUGUUUUAUAUGGGAG